AGUGCUCGCAAGAGAACCGGAACACGAGGUGGCUGCAUGGCUGUCGUCAGCUCGUGUCGUGAGAUGUUGGGUUAAGUCCCGCAACCGAGCGCAACCCUUGUCAUUAGUUGCCAUCAUUUGGUUGGGCACUCUAGCGAGACUGCCGGUAAUAAACCGGAGGAAGUGGGGGAUGACGUCAAGUCCUCAUGGCCCUUAUAGGUGGGGCUACACACGUCAUACAAUGGAUGGUACAAAGGGUCGCCAACCCGCGAGGGGGAGCCAAUCCCAUAAAGCCAUUCGUAGUCCGGAUCGCAGUCUGCAACUCGACUGCGUGAAGUCGGAAUCGCUAGUAAUCGUGGAUCAGAAUGUCACGGUGAAUACGUUCCCGGGUCUU
rnacentral:rRNA from 1 species